rnacentral:lncRNA from 1 species
UUGGCUCAUGCCUGUAAUCCCAGCGCUUUGGGAGGCCAAGGUGGGCAGAUCACGAGGUGAGGAGCUCAAGACCAGACUGACCAACAUGGUAAAAGCUCUUUUCUUUAUAAAUUACUGAGUCCUGAUUAUUUAUUCACAGCAGCAUGAGAACAGGCUAAUAUACAAGGCAUAGUCCAACUUGCACAUUUAUCAUCUACUUAAACUACUGAAAAGUGCCAGACUGGUUCAAAUAAUCAAAUCUUGCUUAAAAUUUCAGUGACCUAAUUUCAUGGAAUGGAAUUGUGCUCCAUCUGCUAUCAGCAAAAUGUCUUCAGUUGAUUUACAAAAUAUUGAUAUAGCAAAUACUAUAACUGUUAUCAGGAAGGCUCUAGGGACAUUUUCUGAAUUUACCCAUUCUUCGUCUUGUCAUUUGUACUCAGUGAGGACAGAAAUAGACAAUAACAUUAAAAUUGUAUAAUGUGGUUUUUAAAUAUCUGGCUCUGCUACUCUUCCUCAUAAAGUUUAGCUAAGGUUUCUUUUUUCCUUUUGUCUUAUUUACAGCAUCUUAAAAAUACCCUUUAAACAUUUUUCAAGUUGUAAGUAUUAGAUCCAAGCACAGAUAGUUUGCUCCAAUUUUUAUAUGUUCUGAGUUUACUAUCCAGACACUUUGCGUUUAUGUGCUAUUUCUUUCCGUUUUACAUGAACAGACAUUUUCUCCACAGAAUGAAUAUGUAAUAUUUAGUUCAGUUGUUAAAUACUACAAGCAAGAUUUCGUAAACAAACAGUUUCAAACUACAUUUAUUUAAGGAGUACUUAGUUUUGUGAAAAUUGCAUAGGUAAAAUGGGCUGUUGACAUUGAAAAUGUAAGGCUUUUUUGUCAUGUUCAGCUUUGUUUAACUUGGUAAAAAAAAGUUUGCUUUUUUUUAGGAAAAAAAGGAAAGCAUGGUUUCUUUAUUUGGAAAGUUUUGUUUGUCUUUAAAUUAGACACUCUUUUAUACAUAAAUCAGAAAUAACUAUACAAGUUAUCUAUAAGGUAUUAUCCCACACAAUUAACAUAAAUGUUGAAAGUAUGAAAUGUCAGAUUAAUCAUAUAGUAUGAAAUACAUUUGAAAAAUUUUCUUGAUUAGAAAAGAGAUUAAAAAACAAACCACCUGUAUUAGUCCAUUUUCAUGCUGCUGAUAAAGACAUACCCAAGUCUGAGCAAUUUACAAAAGAAGGAGGUUUAUUGAACUUACAGCUCCACAUGGCUGGGGAGGCCUCACAAUUGUAGCGGAAGGUGAAAGGCAUGUUUCAUAUGGUAGCAGACAAGAGAAGAGAGCUUGUGCAGGGAAACUCCUGUUUUUAAAAAAAAUCAGAUCUCGUGAGACUCAUUCACUAUCACAAAAACUGUGCAAGAAAGACCCACCCCCAUAAUUAAAUUACCUCCCACCGGGUUCUUCCCAUGACACAUGGGAAUUGUGGGAGUUAUAAUUCAAGAUGACAUUUGGGUAGGGACAAAGCCAAACCAUAUCAUUUCACCUCUGGCCCCUCCCAAAUCUCAUGUUCUGACAUUUCAAAACCAAUCAUGCCUUUCCAAUGGUCCUCCAAAAUCUUAACUCAUUUCAGCAUUAUUGCAAAAGUCCCCAGUCCAACGUCUCUUCUGAGACAAGGCAAAUCCCUUCCACCUAUGAGCCUGUAAAAUCAAAAGCAAGUUAGUUACUUGCUAGAUACAAUGGGGUUAUAGGCAUUGGGUAAAUACAGCUGUUCCAAAUUGAAGAAAUUGGCCAAAACAAAAGGGCUACAGAUUCCAUGUAGGUCCAAAAUUCAGAGGGGCAGUCAAAUCUUAAAGCUUCAAAAUGAUCUACUUUGACUCCACAUCUCACAUCCAUGUCAUGCUGAUGCAAGA